rnacentral:rRNA from 1 species
AUUGAACGCUGGCGGCAUGCCUUACACAUGCAAGUCGAACGGCAGCGGACCUUCGGGUGCCGGCGAGUGGCGAACGGGUGAGUAAUGUAUCGGAACGUACCUUUCAGUGGGGGAUAACGUAGCGAAAGUUACGCUAAUACCGCAUAUUCUGUGAGCAGGAAAGCAGGGGAUCGCAAGACCUUGCGCUGAUUGAGCGGCCGAUAUCAGAUUAGCUAGUUGGUGAGGUAAAGGCUCACCAAGGCGACGAUCUGUAGCGGGUCUGAGAGGAUGAUCCGCCACACUGGAACUGAGACACGGUCCAGACUCCUACGGGAGGCAGCAGUGGGGAAUUUUGGACAAUGGGGGCAACCCUGAUCCAGCCAUGCCGCGUGAGUGAAGAAGGCCUUCGGGUUGUAAAGCUCUUUCGGCCGGGAAGAAAUCGCAUUGGCUAAUACCUUGCAGUUUUGACGUUACCGACAGAAUAAGCACCGGCUAACUUCGUGCCAGCAGCCGCCGUAA